ensembl:lncRNA
GUUAAAGCCUGUGGUGUUUAAGAGAGAAAUUAAAUAUAGCAAAGGAAAAAAUUUGCAAGGAAAGCAGUUGAGAGGUUUGAGUAGUUAACAUAGUUAGACAUCUGCUCGGAAAUCGCUUUGCCGGUUGUUUUUGGGCACAAUCCUGGGACCCCGGCGUGAAGCGUAGACGCGCUGAAGGCAUCACGUCUUCUCCGUCUGAGAAGGUUUUGAGUCUCAGGUGUAAUUAGACCACACAUUCACUGUUGGUCUCUUAUAAAGAGGUUUGUUGUGACAACCAGGAUGACUAACUACUCAAAUGAAGCCAACAUAAAGGUUAUUGAACGGGAUCAGAACACUAUUAUCAAACAAGCUGUAUCUUCAGUGAGUAAUCGUAAAUUAUAUAAUGCAUCAUAAAUAUAAGCCUGACGUCUCCUCGCCGUGGAAAACGCCUCUGGCAGAUUUCCAGCUGCUGGGUUUCAAGUCUUUGCAGUACGUCUGACGGUGGAAAAAAGCAUGAAUAAUGGAAGACAGUGUCACAUGAUGAUGCUGACGGGGCUGCGGUGACGGUGACCUUUCCCCAUCGCCAUGCCAACACUUUCCUGUCCCUCUGGCCAGCAGUGUCCCUGUCACCUACAAUCAGCGCAACAGUCCGGCCACCAAGCCGUCCUCUGAGUUUGGACCAAUCAUGACAUAAAGGGAAACGUUGCUGAAUAUAAACAGGGAGACUGUGAAACCCCCUCCGUCCAUCGGAUUAUCAUUAUAUGAAGAUUAGGCAUGUAAUGAAAUUCACAUAGCUUUAUCAUCACAUAUGAUAUUCACAUAUUCGCCUCCUUCUUUAAGCAAGAUAAGCUGCUCAACUGACACUGAUCCAAGGCUUGCCUUGCUAUAAAAAGCAACGUCAUAUGGCAAAUUUCUC